CACGUAGGGCGCAAGCGUUGUCCGGAAUUAUUGGGCGUAAAGAGCUCGUAGGCGGUCUGUUACGUCUGCUGUGAAAACCCGGGGCUUAACCCUGGGCUUGCAGUGGAUACGGGCAGACUAGAGGCAGGUAGGGGAGAAUGGAAUUCCCGGUGUAGCGGUGAAAUGCGCAGAUAUCAGGAGGAACACCAAUGGCGAAGGCAGGUCUCUGGGCCAUAACUGACGCUGAGAAGCGAAAGCAUGGGGAGCGAACAGG
rnacentral:rRNA from 1 species